rnacentral:tRNA from 2 species
GCCGGCUUAGCUCAGUUGGUAGAGCAGUUGCCUUGUAAGCAUCAGGUCGGGGGUUCGACUCCUCCAGCCGGCACCA